CUCCUAGCUGAAAUGCAAAUGGUGUCUUUGGAAGCUGGGGUUGUGCUUGGUAACAUCUGAGGAGUGGGUGUGAUGAGGAGCCCUGAUACUGACACUUGGACUGUCAACACCUGUCACCUGCUGAAACCAUGGAAUGGGGGCUCUUGUGAGGAGGUGACACAAAACCCUCAAAACCACAACCAAGGUUGCUAAACAGGCUCUAAAAAGGCAGAUCAGAGGGGAGGCCAUGCUAAGAAGUUUCUAAAACAGAAAUUCAGCUGAGGACUGGGCUUCAUUUCUCACUUGUGAUGAUGGUCUUCAGCUACUUGGAAGCUGCAGGUGAAUUCUUUCUGCUUUGCAAGAAGACUCGUUACAUUUGGAAUCUGCAUGCAGUCAGAGGGAAAACCCUGAUGGGAGACAAGCACUUGCCAUAAAUUAGCAGCUUUAUGAAUAUUUGAGUUGGUUGCACUCCUGGAGCAUCCUAGUGGGUCAGCUCUGCUGUGGCUGCACAAAUGUGCUUCUGUGUGGCGUGCAAGUGCUGUGAGAAAUGGAUCCAGGCUGGCUGGAGGCAGGCUCUCUGUACACUGAUUAACAUCUGAGCGUGAUGUAGGGGAAGAUUUAAAUGUGGAUAAAGGGUAUUUCCUAUUAAAUUAUAAAAGAAGAACAUGCUGUAUGAAUUGCUUGCCUGUAGUUUUCACUGUGUAUGUAUGUAAUGAGAUAAUGCAUGUUAAUCCUCAUGAAUCAACCAGGAAUAUGUUGGAAAAAAGUUUAACUCAUUUCUUCCUCUUGUGGGUGGCAUCUGUAAAGAUUCCAAAUACCCUGGACAUGCUCCUCCCAAGUAAGACUUGAAAGGGUAAUAGCUGUGAGCUCAACACUGUAUUUCACCUAAGAAGCUCUGAGUAAUUUAUAAGCAGCCUAUUCCUAAGGUGUGGAAGUGUUACUACAUCACCUAGAACUAUAUGAGGAACCAGCAAGGCACACUGGUCACUAUCUAUUGUUGUUGUUGUUUCCUAUUGUGUAGACAGAAAUUUUUUGGUUUAGAAUGAGAGAGAUGACCUGAGAAGUCAGUGUAAGAAGUCAGAGUUAAGUUCUAGGGAUACAAGGGAAAUUAAUAGAAGGUUGAUUAAGUAAUGAAGGGCUGAAGCUUUGUGCAGAGGGGCUUGGAUGACAUCAUGAACUUGAAAUGCAGAACAGCAGGGGCUCUUUCAUUUUACUAGAUGCAAGAGCCCUGACAUACAAUUUUCCUUUUCCCAAACACUGAAUUUUUACUAAUAAAGCAUUAGAGUGUGUAGGCAGCCUAUUCCUGUCUCCAUUGUUAUGCUGAAAAUACAGCAAGUCUCAGGGCUGACGUUGGUGAAAGGAGCUGUUGUGAGAGAAUUGUGUAUCUUUUGGUCACACUUUUGACAAAAUAGCUGCUACCUUUAUGAGUCUUUUAAGUCUGGCAGAUGUUUUUAUCCUUCCUCCCUAAAGUUACUUUGGUUGAAUCAUCUUUAUUAGGUAGAGACAUAUAUAAUUCAAAAGACAUAAUUAGUAAUUUGAAUAUAAACACUUUGUGAUAGCUGUUAUGAAUGUUGGGACUGUUAUUGUAACUACAUGGAGCUGCAUUCAGUCUGCUUUACAAUGUUUGUGGUUUAAAGAGAAAUGGGCUGCCUAACUUUAAAAACUAGUCAGAUCUGGGACUUCAUUUGGCAUCAGCCUGAGAACAGUGUUGCAGCCUGCUUCUGGCAGACAUUUACAGGCAACUCUCUAAAGAGGGAGGAGAAAAAAAUCAAAAUACACAGAAUUGCUACCAUGACUUUCUUAAAAGGAAGCUUGUGUGUAGAAGUUUUGAAACACACAAGUAUUUGCUUUUUGGAAGAGCUUUUCUUGUUAGACACUCUCCCCACCCUUUAAAGCUCUCAGAUUAAUCCUGAUGCAAAAUAGCACAAGCUAUUAAUUAUCAAGAAACCCCUUCACAGGAUGGAAAACUCAUUUUACAUAAAUCCUUAUUAGCCAUAUCUUCUCAGUGUAGCAGAACUUUACUUUUCAUGUCUCUUGACAGCUCCCAGUUUGACAAAGGAAGCUUAGCUUCACUAAAAAAAGCAAAUCCAUUUUUUUGGGAUUCCAAUUAACACGUUGACAUUGUGUUAUAGAGCUGGAGGUGUAUGAAAUUAUUCCCUGGGAGUUUACCACCACUGGGAAAGGUGAUUGAUUCUGCUACCUGGAGGAAGUAAUAGAUAAUGUAUUAAGUAACACAGGGAUGGUUUGUUUUGUUCCCCCUAAGCAAAAGAUAAAUUCCAUCUUCAUUUUAAUUUUUACAUGAGAGGCAGCACCACACAGAGGCACAGCUGCAAAGCUCAAACUUCUGCUGCUCCAUAUUGGGACCCCAGUGAAGCAGAACAUUAAUCUGUACAGCAAACAAAUGACUAUCAUUUACAUAAUUACAUUUAGUCACAAUUUAUAACAUAUUCAUAAGUGCAUGAGUGAGAAUGAUGCAUUUGCUGUGUAAGGGAUAGAAAUUGUGGAUCAGCCUGGGCUUUGCCAGGACAGGAGGAGUAACAAAAAGAAGUCAUUUUCCAGUAUGUUACAAAAUUCACACUUGUUAUUUGGAGUCCAGCUGUCCUUACCUGUCCUUUCUGGUCUUUUUGUACUGAUGGAUUUUAUUUCUGUGAGUGACUAUGGGCUGAGGUUCUUUUGUGUAAACCUAUGGUAAUUCUUACAGUGACCUUUGGGAAAAAGAGAAAAAAAUGUGUUUUUCUCCAGAAAUGUUUCCAUUAACAACUCAUUAUUUACUUGAAGGUGAAAAAGAGUGGCUAGAAAUCAAAGGGACUUCCAAUAAAUGUCUUUUGAUCUUUAACUAUGGCCCUUAUGAUUACCAUAGUUGCACUAUGUGAGAAAUUAUAUAGCAGAAUCAACCUUUCAUAAAGUUUAAGCAAGUCCUCUUUCCCCAGAAGAGUAUCAAAUAAUAAUCUUAGGCAUUACUUUUAUCCCUACCAAUGUUUGCUUUCUCCACUCUUACAUUUUUUUCUUAUUUUUCUUGGUUUUACCUCUUUUUUCUGCUUUACUCACCUUUUCUUUUUCCCUUCUUGAUUUUUACAAGUCAAAAGGGAAGCAAUCAUACCACCAAGUGAUAGAACUGGUAGAAAUCCUGUAAGAGUUGUUUGUAUCUCAGUCUCCAUAUUUCGCAUGUUUUCCUGUAAUUCUGCUACUUUUUAAGCAAUUGGAAAACUAUUUCUGAGAUUUUUGUUUUGUUUUUAACUUCAAUUAUUUCUCUGAGUUUGAGUUCUCACAUAAAUGCAUCACUCUGUAAUUCUGAAGAGCAUACAAUUACAACUCAGUUUUUUGGUGAAAACAGAAAAUUAGAUGAUAUAAAAACCAUCUCAUCUGAUAGAAUAAAUUGUAAAAAGGCAACUUUUCGCUAAAACCAGUCUUUUGUUUUCUCCUGGAAAUUAGAUCCCUGUCAGAUAAUUCUCUGUCCAAAAGGAAUCAGUCUCCUAAUCCGUGGUUUUGUGUGCUUGUGGUGGGGUUUUUUGAUUGGAUAUUGGUUUGGUUUGGGUUUUUUU